rnacentral:rRNA from 1 species
UACGAAGGGGGCUAGCGUUGUUCGGAAUAACUGGGCGUAAAGCGCACGUAGGCGGAAUGUUAAGUGAGGGGUGAAAUCCCGGGGCUCAACCCCGGAACUGCCUUUCAUACUGGCAAUCUAGAGAUCGAGAGAGGUGAGUGGAAUUCCGAGUGUAGAGGUGAAAUUCGUAGAUAUUCGGAAGAACACCAGUGGCGAAGGCGGCUCACUGGCGACUGACGCUGAGGUGCGAAAGCGUGGGGAGCAAACAGGAUUAGAUACCCCGUAGUCC